AUUGAACGCUGGCGGCAUGCCUUACAUAUGCAAGUCGAACGGUAGCGGGCCUUCGGGUGCCGACGAGUGGCGAACGGGUGAGUAAUGUAUCGGAACGUACCUUUCAGUGGGGGAUAACGUAGCGAAAGUUACGCUAAUACCGACUAUUCUGUGAGCAGGAAAGCAGGGGAUCGUAAGACCUUGCGCUGAGCGAGCGGCCGAUAUCAGAUUAGCUAGUUGGUGAGGUAAAGGCUCACCAAGGCGACGAUCUGUAGCGGGCCUGAGAGGAUGAUCCGCCACACUGGAGCUUAGACACGGUCCAGACUCCUACGGGAGGCGGCAGUGGGGAAUUUUGGACAAUGGGGGCAACCCUGAUCCAGCCAUGCCGCGUGUGAGAAGAAGGCCUUCGGGUUGUAAAGCUCUUUCGGCCGGGAAGAAAUCGUAUCAGCUAAAUCCUGGUGCGGAUGACGGUACCGGCAUAAGGAGCACCAGCUAACUACGUGCCAGCCGCCGCCGUAAAAC
rnacentral:rRNA from 1 species